UUUUCCAGAGCUGCCCUCUUCCCCAAACCCUCUAUCCUUCAGCAAGGCUCUGCUAGGGCACAGUCCUCUUCCAUCCUGAGGUAGCAAAGAUCGACCCUAUACUUCCUGCUCACUGCUCUAGCCCUUGGAGCUGAAAUACUUCUUAGUUGUGGGUCUAUUUCGUUUUAGCAUCUAAGCAAGAUGGAAGGGAUGUUCGGGAUGGAUCUGGGGGCAACAGCGGUGCAGUCUAGAUUUUUACCUUGGAGCCCUUAGGAUUAGUUUCAUGGCCAUGAGGCCUUUUGUAUUAACUGCCUUGAGGACAACC